rnacentral:rRNA from 1 species
AUGAAGGGGGACGAUCUGUCGGAGGAGGACCUCGAGCUCAAGGCGCGUCUCGAGGAUUGCGUGGAGCGGGCGCAGAGCCGCGACCCCCGCCUCCGGAUAGGCGCCAUCGACACCCUGAGGAAAGAGAUUCGUGCGGCGACAAGCUCAAUGACGUCUGUCCCGAAACCACUCAAAUUCCUCCGUGCACACUACGGAACUCUCAAGGAUUGUUUUCAGAGAAUGCGGGAUCCUGCACAGAAGAAACAUAUGGCUGACAUUCUGUCAGUAUUGGCCUUGACAGCGUCUGCUGAAGGAGAAAGGGAAAGCCUCAAGUACUGUAUGAUGGGCUCUUUAGUUGAUAUAUGUUCAUGGGGUCAUGUAUACGUGAGAAACUUGGCUUUUGAAAUUGGAAAAGAGUGGAAGGACAAUGGCUCAUCAACGCCAAUUGAAUCCAAGAUAGAACUAGUGCUGGAAAUUGUCAAAUUUCACAUGAAGCAUAAUGCUGAAACUGAAGCUCUGGAUCUUUUGAUGGAGGUUGGAUACCUUGAGAUGCUUUUCGACGAAAAAUAUGAAGAGUACCUUGCAAGGCUAUUUUGUCUUGUUGACUUUACCAACUACAAAAGGGCAUGCUUGUAUUUGACUACUUCUUCUAAAUACCUUUUGACUCCUGACCGUGAGGCCUAUGAGGCCACACUUUACAUUGCCUUUGGCAUGUAUGGGAAGUUUAGGGAUCUUGCAAGUGCUUUGCGGAUUGUGCUUUUGGUCAACGACGACAAGUGUUGUGAUCAGAGUGUGAAGAUUGUAUUUGCAGAAACUGAAGAUUUCUCCCUGAAGCAGCAACUCGCAUUUAUGAUAGCACGCUAUGGUUUAAGCAUGGAGGUUGAUGAUGAGAUGGUUGCAGAUGAAAAUGAGAAGAAUGCUUUGCAGGAAGUAGUUAAUAACACCAAACUGAGUGAGGGGUACCAUAUGCUUGCGCGGGAUAUUGGUGUCAUGGAGCCAAAAUCUCCAGAGGACAUAUAUAAGGUUCAUCUGAUUGGCGGUCAAGGUGCCAAAAGCUCCAGCCUUGAUUCUGCAAGACAAAAUUUGGCCGCAACUUUUGUCAAUGCAUUUGUGAAUGCUGGUUAUUGCCAGGACAAACUCAUGACUGCAAUUUCAGAUUCUUCUGAAAAUUUACUAUUCAAGAAGAACGAACUUGGGAAAGCCAGUGCAGUAGCUAGUCUGGGAAUGAUACAUCUAUGGGAUCAUGAUUCAGGAUUUGCCAUACUUGACAAGUACCUGCAGAGCGAUGAUACUCAUGUCGUUGCAGGGGCUUUGUUAGGCAUAGGAAUUGUCUCUUGUGGUGUGAAGAAUGACUAUGAUCCUGCACUUGCUCUUAUUUCUGGGUAUAGCACGAGUGCAGCAUCAAUUACACGUAUCGGUGCAAUCUUGGGCCUUGGUAUUGCUUAUGCUGGGUCCCGGAAAGACAAGCUUAAAUCGUUGUUCUUAAUUACCUUGAGUGACUCCCAAGCACCUUUGGGGGACUUAGUGUUCUCUGCCAUCUCCUUGGGAUUGGUGUUUGUUGGUUCCUGCAACGAAGAGAUUGCACAGUCAAUCAUAUCUGUUUUGAAAAAUCUUAUUAAAGCAGAGCUUGCAGAUCCCAUUAUUCGUCUGCUUCCACUUUCCAUUGGCCUUCUAUAUCUUGGAAAACAGGAGGGGCCGAAGGCUAACGUUGUUAAGGUUUCUGAAACAUUUGAUGAAAUAAUGAAGGAGGUUUCUAAAACAUUUGAUAAAAUAAUGAAGGACUAUUGGAAUAUAACUCUUAUGUCUUUGGCAUAUGCUGGGACAGGGAAUGUGCUUAAGGUUCAGGAGCUCCUUAGUAUCUGCUCAAAAAAGGAAGGUGGAAGUCACCAAGGGCCAGCAGUACUGGGAAUUGCUCUUAUUGCCAUGGCUGAAGAAUUAGGAAUUGAAAUGGCUGUACGGUCCCUUGAGCAACUUUUUAAGUAUGGUGAUUAUAAUAUUAGAAGAGCGGUUCCUCUUGCUCUUGGCAUGCUCUACAUAUCCAAUCCAAAGGUAGACGUUGUGGACACACUGAGUAGACUGAGCAAUGAUCCGGACGGUCAAGUAAUGAUGGCUGCAACCAUCUCACUUGGUUUGAUAGGUGCUGGUACAAACAAUGCACGCAUAGCCGCGUUGCUUCGUAACCUCUCAAGUCAGGAACAUGGCGUUUACCUGUUUUGUGUGAGGAUUGCCCAGGGUCUUGUUCACCUUGGGAAGGGCUUGCUGACACUUGCCCCAUACCACUCUGACCGGCUACUUCUAUCCCCCGUAGCACUAGCUGGGCUAGUAACCGUUAUGCACGCAUGCCUUAACAUGCAAUCCACCAUCCUCGGAGAGUAUCCCUACAUGCUGUACAUCCUUUCCCUUGCUAUGCAGCCUAGGAUGUUACUGACCGUGGAUGAGGAUCUCAAGCCCCUCCAUGUGCCUGUUUGUGUCGGCCAAGCAGUUGACGUGGUCGGUCAGGCAGGAAGUCCCAGGACCAUCACUGGCUUCCACACGCACAACACGCCUGUACUGCUCGCUGCAGGGGAACGAGCUGAGCUAGCAACUGAAGAAUAUAUUCCGCUGACACCAAUUCUUGAGGGCUUUGUGAUCCUGAGGAAGAACCCAGAGCAUCAUGAAGAUUGA